GAAAUGCGAUACGUAAUGCGAAUUGCAGAAUUCAGUGAAUCAUCAAAUCUUUGAACGCAAAUGGCACUGUCGGGAUAGGCCUGGCAGUACGUUUCUUUCAGCGUCGUUUCAACCACACUCAAACUGCGUGCUUGCAUGUAAGUUUGGACAUUGAGCUUCACUAGGUCACACUAGUGUUUCUUCAAAAAUCGCGGAAUGGCGUGUGUUGAUAGCACACUGCACUGAUUAGUCGACAGUGACAUGGAUAAUUUCACAUUGUUGAAUCUUUAUGUGACUGUUUGAUCAAAAGUGUAGCGCGGCACAACGCAAAGUCUACCGAUUCGAAGGUUUUCUAGCGAAAAUCUUCAACGAAUUCUUCGACUAAGACCUGAAAUGAAGCGAGAUUACCCGCCGAACUUAA
rnacentral:misc_RNA from 1 species